UACGGAGGGGGCAAGCGUUGUUCGGAAUUACUGGGCGUAAAGGGCGCGUAGGCGGCCUGCUAAGUCGGAUGUGAAAUCCCUCGGCUCAACCGAGGAACUGCAUCCGAUACUGGCGGGCUUGAAUCCGGGAGAGGGAUGUGGAAUUCCAGGUGUAGCGGUGAAAUGCGUAGAUAUCUGGAGGAACACCGGUGGCGAAGGCGGCAUCCUGGACCGGUAUUGACGCUGAGGCGCGAAAGCUAGGGGAGCAAACGGG
rnacentral:rRNA from 1 species